CAUUCACAAAAAAGGGCCCACAACCCUCCUCGGGGCCCUCAACCGAGGCCUCUCAUUGGCCAGGGCGGCGUGACGUCACGGAGACGGGGCCUUUCUACAGGCAGGUACCCGGUGACGCCAUAAAGAAAAGUCUGCGCGGUUUCACCAAUCAGAGAGAAGGUGUGCUCACGACCCCUCGGGCUGCCCACCAACUUUGUCUCUGUGCCCUGCGGGUGCCCGCAUGCCGGCUCCGGCUUCCUGCUGUGAGUCCCCGAGCCCUGCCCUGCGCAGCCCUGCCCUGGUGACUCGCCAGGUCUCUGGCGUGUGGAUGUUUGAAAUAUCUCUGGGUUUUCCUUGUAAUUCGCGCCCAGCGAAGGAGGCUCCUGCCAUGGCUGCCGGAGGGAAGCGUGGGGACUGCCCCAACUGUCCGCAGUGGAGAGGUCUUAAGGUGGAGUCAUCUCGGAACUUAACCACUUCAACCAGCCCGGUGCCGUGGACCUGCGUACGCCCAGCGCUCAAAGACCCCCGGGGCCGCGGAGCUGACGGAACCAGUGGGAACGCGACGCACCUCGGUUUGCACCGUCCAGCGCCUCAUCCCGGGACCCGGGGCCGCCUUAACUCGGUGGCUUUCUGCACGGCUGCUGUGGACGUCUGAGGUGCCCACAGGCCCGCUUGUACUGUGAAGCAUUGCAGCAAGUUGCAAACUCAGUUCUUCAACUUUCUUCUUGCAAAUUGCAGGGUCGCAUCCCCUUCUUUUCCUUGUGGGUUAACCACUGGCUGAUCUCUGGAACUGAACCGCGCUUCUCAUUCUGGAGGGCCUUAAGGCCAACGUCCGCGACAGCGUCCAGCAGGGCGAGACUCUGGAAGGCAAUCUUUCCAGAAUCGGCGGCCCCAAGGUCUACAUGCCCAAGCUGUUCCUAUGUGUCACCCGCAUUUUAACAGCGUUUCCGGCAGCCCAGCGAUUACCGCCUGACUUCGGCAGAGAAUAAGGUUUUCAGUGCGUGCUCCCGGGAAGCCUUUCAGAAACGUAGAUUUCCCCAGUGUCGGGGAGGGCCACUUGACUUCCAUUGUUGUGGAUUUUCCCUAAAGUCCUGCUAAAUGAGGAAGGAGGGGACUGAGCGGCGGUUUCCGCGGCCUGGAACCAGAGAUCGCGACUGCUGAAUUUGUGUUUCUUAAGCUCAAUGCUCCGUGCUUUCUUCCCCUGUUUCCCAGGAGGAAAUGGUGAAGGCCUUAGGUCUAAAAUGGCCUAAGCGGUUUGCCUCAGGGGCCUGUGGAGCGCUAGGUAAGUUCACUCUGAGAGCAAUAUGGAGCAUCCUUCUUCAUGUUUAUUUCAGGUUGAGGGACCCUCAUUUGACAGGUCAAGGUCGUUAUCUCUGCUACCUAGUGUGAUUUGGAAUCCUUGUGACUCCAAAGUGUGGAGGGACAGGCACCAUCUUCACAGGUGAGACCAACACCAAGGGCUCCUAGCUGGCCUUCUGAAAGGAAGUGACCUCUCUACCUGCAUAAAUGUCAGAAUGUCGGGUUGAUUUCUUUGGAUGUCAGACCGACCCUAAUGAAGACUUUUUUUUU